rnacentral:SRP_RNA from 1 species
GCCGGGCGCGGUGGCGCGUGCCUGUAGUCCCAGCUGCUCGGGAGGCUGAGGCUGGAGGAUCGCUUGAGUCCAGGAGUUCUGGGCUGUAGUGCGCUAUGCCGAUCGGGUGUCCGCACUAAGUUCGGCAUCAAUAUGGUGACCUCCCGGGAGCGGGGGACCACCAGGUUGCCUAAGGAGGGGUGAACCGGCCCAGGUCGGAAACGGAGCAGGUCAAAACUCCCGUGCUGAUCAGUAGUGGGAUCGCGCCUGUGAAUAGCCACUGCACUCCAGCCUGGGCAACAUAGCGAGACCCCGUCUCU